AGGAUGAACGCUGGCGGUCUGCUUAACACAUGCAAGUCGAACGGGCGUAGCAAUACGUUAGUGGCGGACGGGUGAGUAACGCGUGAGAAUCUACCUUCAGGACGGAGACAACAGUUGGAAACGACUGCUAACCCCCGAUGUACUGAAAAGGCAAAUAUUUAUAGCCUGAAGAAGAGCUCGCGUCCGAUUAGCUAGUUGGAGAGGUAAAAGCUCACCAAGGCGACGAUCGGUAGCUGGUCUGAGAGGACGAUCAGCCACACUGGGACUGAGACACGGCCCAGACUCCUACGGGAGGCAGCAGUGGGGAAUUUUCCGCAAUGGGCGAAAGCCUGACGGAGCGAAGACCGCGUGGGGGAAGAAGGCUCUUGGGUUGUAAACCCCUUUUCUCUGGGAAGAAGUUGUGAAGCAGCCUGACGGUACCAGAGGAAUCAGCAUCGGCUAACUCCGUGCCAGCAGCCGC
rnacentral:rRNA from 1 species